rnacentral:rRNA from 1 species
GCAGGCGCGAAACCUUUACACUGCACGACAGUGCGAUAGGGGGAUCCCAAGUGCACAGGCAUAGCGCCUGUGCUUUUCGGUACCCUAAGGCGGUACCAGAAUAAGGGCUGGGCAAGACCGGUGCCAGCCGCCGCGGUAAUACCGGCAGCCCAAGUGAUGGCCGAUCUUAUUGGGCCUAAAGCGUCCGUAGCUGGCCGUACAAGUCCAUCGGGAAAUCCACCUGCUCAACAGGUGGGCGCCCGGUAGAAACUGUGCGGCUUGGGACCGGAAGGCGCGACGGGUACGUCCGGGGUAGGAGUGAAAUCCCGUAAUCCUGGACGGACCGCCGAUGGCGAAAGCACGUCGCGAGAACGGAUCCGACAGUGAGGGACGAAAGCCAGGGUCUCGAACCGGAUUAGAUACCCGGGUAGUCCUGGUCGUAAACAAUGUCUGCUAGGUGUGGCUCCCACUACGAGUGGGUGCUGUGCCGUAGGGAAGCCGCUAAGCAGACCGCCUGGGAAGUACGUCCGCAAGGAUGAAACUUAAAGAAAUUGGCGGGGGAGCACUACAACCGGAGGAGCCUGCGGUUUAAUUGGAUUCAACGCCGG